CCCAGUUACCUGUUUCACACCAAAACUCAGCAGCAGCUGCUGCCCCUCUACUUUAGACACACACGCAGAGGCAAAAGGAAAAAGAAAGAAAGAAACAAAUGAACAAGGGGAAGCAAAAAACAGAAUCAUGGAGAAGAAGAGAAGAGGGAGGGGCGCUGGCACCGGUGGGCCUCGCCACUGCCGUGUUGCCGCCGCUGUUCAACCUGCCACGCCUUCCCGCCAGUUCCGUCGUCCUCACUGCUUCGCCACCGUCGAGCUUGCAAGCAUGGAGGAAGCACAGCACCGUCGACCUCGUCAGAUUUCUGUCAUCGAUCAUCGUUGGGCCGCGCCGGAAAUAAAACUGCGAAUGAGAAGGAGGGGAGACAUAAGACUGACGCUAGAAAGAGAGAGAGAGAGCGCGUGUGCGUGGAUAGGAAGGGCAGCGCUGCUAUUGCCGUUGUUACUGAGCUGUCGCCAUUACCGUCGCAGAGGAGGAAGCUCGGGGGGAGAGAGAGAUCGGCGGAGGAAGGGUUUUUGUUCGUGCGGCCGUGCCUCACCGCCUCAGAUCCGUUCUGUCUCUACUGCCAUUCACCGCCGCUGAUGUUGUCCGUCGCCUUUGCUUGCCAUUCGGAGCGGCUGCAUCGCUGCUUCCACCGUUCUGCUCGUCGGGUGUAGCACAGGUGUUACUGGAACCACCAUCGGAGCUGCCGCUACUCGGUGUAGUUGUUCUUCCCUUGUUGUGGUGUAGCACGGUUGUUGCUGGAACCACUGCCAGGGCUACCGCUGCUUGAUUCAGCUGUUCUUUCUUAGUUUUGGCAAGCGUUUUUCGUUUCGAAAAUCCUUUACUUACUGUUUUGUUAUCUUACGCUGAGGUUUUAUGGCAUUAAUUGCUAUAAGAUUGAGUUUCGGUUGUUAUAUGUCACGAUUAGUGUUACUGUGGUUACCGCGAAAGUGGCUUGGAGCUGAGGUUGUGGUUGUUGGUGAUUUUGGGUUGAGAGAGAAGGUUCUUGUGACAUGUUUGGGUUAUGGUUCUGUGUUUUGAGGUAGGGACUUUUCUAAAAAGCUAUUUUUAUAUCUAAAAUUGUUAUAAAUGGAUACUGGUGUGAUAAUUAUAUACCUUAGUGAUUGUACCAGUCUUAAGUAUUGUUUGGCAACUUUAAAUGGAUAUGAUUAUAUAUUUUGAUUAGAUUA